GGAUGUGAGGGUGAUCUGGCUGCGACAUCUGUCACCCCAUUGAUCGCCAGGGUUGAUUCGGCUGAUCUGGCUGGCUAGGCGGGUGUCCCCUUCCUCCCUCACCGCUCCCCCCCCCCCCCCCGAAGCUGCGCGCUCGGUCGAAGAGGACGACCUUCCCCGAAUAGAGGAGGACCGGUCUUCGGUCAAGGGUAUACGAGUAGCUGCGCUCCCCUGCUAGAACCUCCAAAAAGAAAGUGUGCAACUAGUGAUAUACUGAAACUUUGGAAUCCUGUAUAUCUAUGAGAUGACUCAAAGAAGGCCAUCCUCAU
rnacentral:snRNA from 2 species